CACCGCCCGUCACACCAUGGGAGUUGUGUUUGCCUUAAGUCAGGAUGCUAAACUAGCUACUGCCCACGGCACACACAGCGACUGGGGUGAAGUCGUAACAAGGUAACCGUAGGUGAACCUGCGGUUGGAUCACCUCCUUUCUAGA
rnacentral:rRNA from 1 species